GUCAACAUACUGUUUUGGUGUUUUACUGAAUGUCCCUCCUUUUUAUGCAGGGUGUGACUCUUCAGCUAGUGGACUGUUCUGUAGUGGUAAAGAUAGCAUCUCCUGAAAACACCUGCUGUGUGGCCUGGCUGGCAUAGGUGGUGAAUGAGGUCCACCUGUGAGUUGGCUAUAGGCCUUAUCAACACCAGAAGCAAGAGAAGAGGAGAAAAUUCCACCAUAUCAGUGCAGGUUGGUGUGAGGCAUACCAGGAUAGACCUUAGAGUAUAGUGGUAUAUUCCAAAUGGGCUAUACCCCUUAGUCUUGCUCACUUUCACCAAACUUUCUCAUCAU
rnacentral:lncRNA from 1 species